rnacentral:lncRNA from 1 species
AGAGAAGAGAAGAGAAGAGAAGAGAAGAGAAGAGAAGAGAAGAGAAGAGAAGAGAAGAGAAGAGAAGAGAAGAGAAGAGAAGAGAAGAGAAGAGAAGAGAAGAGAAGAGAAGAGAACUCUGCAGCUGUACUGAGCAGUGUUCAGCUGACUAUUUUCUCCAAGUGGCAUUCCCAGACACACUGCAAAGGAUGCUGGCAAAACAUCCUUGCUGCUCAUACAAUAUAUGAUCUACAGCCACGGCUGUGGCUUUGGUAAGAUGAAAAGACAUUUGAGCACUGCUGCACGCUUGCUAGGCUGUCCGUGUUCUGAAGAGUCUGAGGAUCAAGUCUCCAAGUCUCAACCUGUAAUUUAGCAUGCUCAUGCUUCACAGUUUCACUUUAUUUUCUUCAUCCUGUUCUAGAAUUUUUUUUUGUUUUUUGUUUGGUUUUUUUUUUUUUUUUCAUUUUAAUGGUCUGACAUUUGCCAGGGAAAACAUUUGCAGAAUAAAUCUCAUCAAAAUCUCAACCGAAAUCUCAUCUCUGGCUUGACAUUAAUUUUGAUCCUUUCCAUCACAGCUGUCUCCCUGCAGGUUUCAUCUUUGUUUUGGGAGGCAGGGCUCAUCCUCCUCCCUGAGCAGCCUCUAGGUGUUAAAUGAUGGGAGGGCACAGAAGAAAUUGUAUAUUUUUGUGGUUAAAUGCAGUGGAAUAAUUUCCACAUUGUUCCACCUUGUUUGCACCACUCCUUUAACCAAUUGCUUGGCAGUCUGUCAGCUCACUUACCCCUGUAACAGCAGCUCACAAAAUCUGAAAAUGUUUCAACUGACAAGUGUGCAAGUGGGGUUAUUUUCCCUGUUUGCAAUUGCCUGUGUAUUUGAAGAGUCUACAGAGCCUUCUUUACUUCAGGUGGCUCUUGAAGAGGACAUUGUCCAUUUUCCUCCCCAUUGCACUGGGCAACCGUGGCAAAAACAAAGAGCAUAUAUGCAGCAACAAAACCCAAAAGCUCAUGGAGAGGAGAGGAGAGGAGAGGAGAGGAGAGGAGAGGUUAUUUCCUUGCUCAGUUUUGUGAAGCCUGUAGCUACAUCCAAGAGAUACAACUGGGACACAUACCGCUUCAUGACGGCAUGACUUGCUGAAGUGAUAAAAUGCAUGAUGUUUCCUGACACAUGCAUAUUCUUAGUAGCUGCUGAUGAGACAGGAUGAGUGGAGUGCAAAUGUUUGCUAACUUAGGGAUGGACUCUGAUAUGGAAGGUAUGCAGAACUAUCUUUGAAGUCUGUAGCAGUUGGGCACAUACGUAACUGGGAUCAGCAGUGAGUGUUCAUUCUCCAAGGACACUUCAAAGAGUGCGUUAAAAAAAUAAUAAUCCAACAACAGAAAAAAAAAAAAAAAAAGCCUAAGGAUGAUGUCAUUGGAACCCUCUCCAAGUUACAGCCAUCUCUGAUUGCUGAGGGUACAUGUGGAUGAAGGAGUUGCAGAAAUUUUUGCAGUGGCUGUAGGUAUGCAAUAUUCAGCAGCAGGAUAUGACUGGGGAAGUGAGCACUGGGUACCAAUUAAAAAAAUGAUAUUUUUAUUUCCCCUGAGAUAUUUUUCCAUCAUCACAGCAGAGAAGCUGUAGUGGAACUGUCAUGUUUAUGGAUUUCUGGAGGAACUUGGGCUUUCAGGACACCUGUGUCUUUUUUCUUUCUUCCUGUCUGGCCAUUGCCUUCAUUUUUCCUAGGCUUUCAUCCAAACUCCACAAGUGCAUUUUGACUCUUAGGUCAGUUACAAUGAAAGGAAAGAUUUUAGAAAAUCACUUACAAAAGAUUUUAAAAAAUCAUCUGGAUAUGCAGAUCACAUGCUUCAAAAAAAGACCACUCCUCUUUAGCUCACCCAAACUUGGUCCCUUUGUUUUCCUUAUGAUCUUUUCAAGAAUUUUCAUAAGAGAAGGUAGCUGCUCCCACACUAACAAUGUUUCUCCUCCUUGUGUCUAUCUGCUAGCUGAGAGCGGUAAGAGCAGAGGAGAGAUAAUUGUGCUUUAAUUGGGAUUUGUUUGUUCAAAGAGGGAGGGGACAAGGGAUGCCUUGUGGUUCCCAUGGCCUUCUAGAUAAGUUUUCACAUAAUGCCAAUUAAGAGCAAAAUAAAGAGUAUGCAAAACAGAUGAUAACUGCUGCUCACCAGGAAUCAUUCUUUUGUGACUAAAACAAUGGGGCAUUCUACUGAGGGUGUGCUUUUUGCUGCUGUACUUUCCCUUGAUUGUUAUGGCAUUUUGUGUAAGGCUUGCUGCUGAGUGGACCAAACCUAGUGGGAGCCUUCCAGUCGUAUGUAUAUUCGUACAUAUACACUUGACAAAAGCAGAAAGAAAAGUCAAAUUCAGGAUUUUUUCCCCCCUACACGUUAUUUUUAUUUUGUUUUCACUUCAGAUGAGCUAUUGUGUAUGGGGAGGGGUCAAGGGUUUUUUUUCUUUCUCUUUUUCUACAUUUUUUUUCUUUUCUCCUUGUUUGUUAGUUUUAAGGGUAAUUAUUCACCCGGGCCUUUUCAGCUGUCAAAAGUAACAAAAGGUAAUCCGACUUCUUCUCUUCCCUACCCCCACACCCGCCUUUGCUUCCAACAAAAGCAGUCUUUGUUGGGAGGGUCAUCAUUUCACAAGAAUCCUUCUUCGACUCACAAGUUAGAAACGCUCUUCUACUUGAUAUCAGGGUGACCUCAAACAAAUGCUGGGGCGCUAGGAAUGUUGCAGCUGAUGCUCUGCUCUGGAUGGUGUUGCCCAUGGACAAUUGCCAUUUUGACAAAUUAGAGUCUGAUAGAUACUCUGAAUGCUUUAUAUUCCUUCAAGAAGGAUUCCUAGCUUAUUACAUGAGCUGGUUAUCAAUAUAUCUAUCAUACAGUGGUUUUCAUCUAAAGGGUGGUCCUUCGCCACUGGCUUCGGCUUAUAGCUCUGUUUGACUGGGAUGAACACUCCAACUUCCCAAGCUGUAUUUUCUUUUUAUUCAUGUCUUGGAGCUUAUUGCUGUUGUGGAAGUACAUAAUGGAAAAACAGAAUUAUGCUCCUUAUAAACAGAUCAAUAUAUGCCAAUCUCCAGCUUCAUAUAAAUAUUUACUUAGAUAUUAAAUUGAUCUUGUCCUAGAUUUGCCAUAAUUUGUCUAUGAAGCUAUAAUCAAGACUCCUUGAUAAUAAAAAGAACCCAUCAGCAAUUACACUCAUUCACUUCCCCAUAUUCAAGGCUAUUUCAGCAUUUCACUGAUAAACUCCUGUUUUCAAUCAAAUUUGCUGUGUGAAAUCAACAUUGCACACCAGUUGAUGAUUCUGAAGUGCUUUGUGUGUGGCAUUUGAGUGAUUUCUGAGGGGCUUUUAUCUGACAGGGAAACAAGUUUUUACUAAAAAUGCACACAAAACCUUCUCUUAAAACUCAAACAGGAUAUUGCAGAUUCAUAUGUACUUUCAACUUUCUGAAGGUUUCAAAUAGCCAAAUUUCUUGCAAACAGAAGCACCUAAAAAUGUUUCUGUUGUAUACUUCUCAUCACCAUGAUCACUUAAUACAUCUAGUAUGGAAUUUACUGGUGCUGUGAGUUAUACUGGGGACCUCUUGCACAAAUUCAUAUCCCCAAGUACUUUUGUUAUACAUAGAGAGCACUGAAGAAGAAGACCUAUUAGAAAAUAUUAUUUCUAUUUUGCAAGUGUGGACUGUGGUCAGAGGGAGACUUGCAAAUUUCACGAUGUUAUAGAGGAAGACUUUUAAGAUGGUAAAUUGAAACUUCCCCAGGUUUGACCUCAUCCUCAUUGCAACAGGAAAAUUUUGUUUUAGAUUACAAAAAUAAUGCUCACAGUGAGGUUAAAACAUGGGCAUGAGAGGUAUCUCCAUCACUGGAGAUAUACAGAACUCAUUUGUCUAUGAUCCUGAGUAACAUAAUCUAAUUCCGCAACUGUAUCCAACAUUAAAUUUAGCCCUGCCACAAUCAGGAGGUUAGACUGGAUGGCCUCCAAAGGUUCCCUUCAGCCUAAAUUACUCUAUGCUACUAUGAACUACAGUAGCUCCUCGAACCACAAACAACCAAAGACUUAACUUAGUAAUUAAUAAUGAGUACAGUUCUGAGCUAUAUUCUGGAAGGAAAGAACUGCAGUUGUUUAGCUUUCCCGGUGACUGUUGACUAUGAUUAAUCAUAAGACAAAGUCUUGUGUCCUUAUAUUCUUUUAAGAGUUUAUUUCUUGUUUAAAUUUUAAGCCUGGAACUUUCUAAUAAUAGCUAAUUUUAUUUUUCUGAGCCAAAGUUGUCUUCAUCCUUAGAGCCAAGAAUCUAAGACACCCAGACAGGCUCGACUGAGAGUUGGGCAGAGAGGAACCUUACAAGGUUCAACAGGGGCAAGUGAAGAGUCCUGCACCUGGGGAGGAGUUACUGGACACAUCAGUACAGGUUAGGGCCUACUAGAAAUGAGCUCUGCAGAGAAUGUCUGGGAGGUGUCCUGGUGGUCAGUGGGAUGACCAUGAGCCAGCAGUGUGCCUUUGUGGCCAAGAGGGCCAGUGGUAUAUUAGGGCUCAUUAAAAGAGCGUGGCCAGCAGGUCAAGGGAGGUGAUCCUCCUCCUCUACUCUGCUCUGGUGAGGCCACAUCUGGAGUACUGUGUCCAAUUCUGGGGUCUCCAGUUCAAGAAAUAAAGGGAACUGGAACACGCUGCACAGAGAGAUUAUAGAGUCUCCUGCUCUGUAGGUAUUCAAGACCUGUCUGGAUGCUUUCCUGUGUGACCUGCUGUAGAGAAUCUGCUUUAGCAGGGAGUUGGAUCUCCAGAGAUCCCUUCCAACCCCUAUGAUUCUGUGAUUAUGUCCUUAUACAUAGCCUUAUAACAAGACUGAUUGUGCUUUACAAGUAGUUAAGUGUUCAUCUGAGUCCAUUCCAACAUCUGGACAUGCGUGGUUAUAUCCCUUAUUGAAAUGGACCUGUGCAGGGAGUGCUGUACAACACAUGCUGAAGAGAGUCACCCAUUAAGUGAAUAAUGACACAUGCAAAUGAAAGCUUUAGGUAGGGCAGAAUAUUACAUAAAUAAUGAAGACAUUUAUAAUUACGUGAAAGGGUAACUUCAACAAUUUCAUUCUCAUGAAAUAUUCCUUGGGAGUUUAAUAAUUCAUGGUCAAGAUUUUAUUUGUUGCCUCACAUGAAAUUCUUUCCUAAUUCAGAAAAAAUAUCUAUUCAUGACUUGUGGUUAUUUGUAUUUUGUUUUUGUUUUGUUUUGUUUGUGUGUGUGUGUUUUUUUUUUGUUUUUUUCCCUUCUAGACUGGCAUUGGUAUCCUAUGUGGUUAGCUUGUAUACUGUAUAAUGCAGAGUACACCUGUGCCUACAUCUCCUUCAUCACUGCUGGAGUAUUUCACAUUUCCUAAGAAGCCUGGAGCACCUAAAACCAUUAGUAAACUGAAUGCAUCGUGCUCCACUGGAGGAAGGCAAAUAGAAUUAGACCUAUUUUACUGAUAAGAAAACUGAGGUCAUUUUCCAGCUGACGUCUGAAGUUAAAUGCCUAUCUCACCACUUCCAACUGUAAAAUAACCCAAUCACUGAUGGCCCCACAGUUUGAUACUCAAAUGCUCAGCUCUUGUUUGGUCUCCAGUGGUGUCUGUCAUAAUAUUUCAGGCCUAAUUUGUCAGAAUAGCAGAGGCCUCUGGUAAUCAUCAAGCGCAGUGGAUGUGCAGUACCUUCUGAGUCCAUUUAACGUCUGGCUUUGUGUGGAAGUUGAAGGUGACUUUUCACAGGCUUGUCACCAGAAUGUACUGCAGACAAAUGAGCUCAGGCCAGAAAAAUAAGGGUUGUAGAGGCUGCUGGAAGUGUUUGCUUGCCUGGUCUCUGAGAGGCCUUGCAAGCUGUUUGGUUGAUAAUGUGAACAAAUUGGUAUUUAGGGCCUGGACUCUAAAUCAAAGAAAACACAUAGAAAAGCACCUAAUAAGUAACCCUCAUUAUCAGAUUAUCACUGGCUCCAGGUCCUCUGAUAUUCAGUUUCCCUUAUCAGUACUACCAAGAGCUGAAGCCGACGCUGAUGUGUGGAGUUAUCCCUUGGGAUUAGUUGCCACCUCCUGAUUGCUGGUUGUUAAAAAAUAAAAAUAAAAAGCCCUGAGCAUGUGUUUCUGUGGGGAAAAAAAAAAAAUCAAGUGAAAUAAUUUUGCUGUUGGUUUUUCUACCACCAUGCUCAACAUAGUCCAGAGAAGCUGCUUAUGGAGCAAAAUGCUGAGUUUUGCAGAGCAAUUAAGAGCUGAGAGUAUCUCUGCUGAUGCAGUAGUGAUGUGUGCGUAUUGUACAUACAUGUGUGUGUAUUGUACAUAUGGUCGUUGGCACGACCAUCCUUACACCACUUUGCAUAACUGGAGGGAAAUAAGCAGCUAUAUUGGCACCAGAGAAUAGAAUAGAAACUCGGUUGCAUGAGAGCAGAUGGGCAGGUUUUGUUCUUUGUUGCUUAAAAAAUAAUAAUAAAAUAAAGGUAAUUCCUUUCUUAGAGUUACUCCUUUCAUGGUCAGAAGUUACAAGGACAGAAGGAUGGGAGCAAUAACGGGUUUUAGGCCUUCACAAAGAGUGUUGUCUUCCUUAAUAGAGCUAUGUAGCCCUCUGCAAUGGAGCAACCAAAGUAGAAUGCAACACAUAGUGGAGAACACACCAGAGAAGUCCUUCCCAGUAGGAAAGUCUUAUGUUGCUUUUCUUUUUUAAUAGAAUUUUUAUAACCCUUAUUUUUUAAAGGGAUUUAUAUAAGCCAUUACUGAUGAGAAAUAAUAGAUUUUCAUUUUCACAAUACAGUAAUAUAAUGAAUGGAAGAGUUAUAGCGUGGAAUCACCCUGCUUAAGCCUACUGCAGGCAGUAUUUUUCUCACCUAAAAAAAUUACUAAGUGUCUCUUAUAAACUUCAGAAAGAAAAAGGCAUUAAAUGGCCAAUUAAUCUCAUCCUCAGUGACCAUAUCAAACAGGCUGGCUAAAUUGCACAUGAAAGUGUAACUUUCUGUCCAUUGUCUAUACAUCAAGGGAAUUUAGGAAACUAGCAAGGGGCAGCUGUCUGCUGAGAUUAAUCCUAUUUCCUAAAUUCCCCUGGACUUCAACUGUAUACAGACAGCUCUAGAGGACAUUCACAGGCCUUGAUGAGGAAACCACCCUGAGAAGUUUCCAUUCAGUUUGCACCAAUUAAAGGAGGAACACCCAGCCAAGCUGUAUUUUUAUCUAGAUACGUUAGCCAUGUUGAGUGAGUUGAAGCUGAAGAGUACGUUGCCCAGAGGCAAUGCAGGUAUGAAUCUUGUGUUUUCUCUGUCUUCCCCAGGACAAAGGGCAUGGCUGUACACCAUGCAGCCACGCAGUCAGCACUGCAGGAAUGCAGUUUCUUGGUUACCAUAUGGAAAAUCAUUUAAAAUUAACCUCAAGGCUCCUUGAUGAGUGGUGCAUGUUGAUUGAUUGAAAAAACCUAUGAGUAAGCUACAGCUAAUGGAUGUAUUAAUCAUAGCAGGACACACAACUUGAGAACAUUAAGAUAAAGGCCUGAUUUCAGAUUCAGAGAAGGUGAGAUCAAAGCUGGCUUCUUGUCCUUUCAUGCUGAUGCCUUUGAGGGAAUGCCAUCCAAAGAGUGGGAAAUGAGGCAACUCAGCGUGGAUUAUCUUAAAAAGGAGAAUAAAAACAAACAAAACACAGUAAAAAUACUAUAAUAUGACAGUAUGAAAACCCGUACAUUUCUCUGUGUGCUCUUUAGUAUCACAGAGGAAUUAAACUUGUUUUUGAAGUCUUGACAUCUGUGCAUUCAUCCUGGGGAAAUGCAUUAUCUGGAGAUGUUACACUUAAUAUGUUUUUUCAGUUUAAUCAAAUAGUAAAAUUAUUUCCACAGACUUCGAAUAACUCUUGUGGGCUUACAGAAUGUUUGAAAGACCGAUCCAAGUUCUGGGACAUGAAGAAUUCAGCAGAUUCCACAAAACACUUUGUAAUUCAUUGCAGUAGAAUUUACCUUGUGAUAUUUUUUUGCUCUCCACAGAGCAGCCAUCCACAUUUUGAAUGUCACCCUGGAUUUCAUAGACAGUCAUUGAAGGGAAAGAAACACGUCUACCGAGCAAUUUGGGUGAUCUGUUUUAUACGUGUGCAUUAAGAUAAGAUGAAUUGCACCUGUAAAGCCCUAAUUUAGGCACUUCCAUGUAAAUAGCUACAUUGCAGACAUUUUAAUGUGGAUGGAAGAUUUGCACCCUUUUUAUUAUUUGGACUGAGGUCUGAUGUUAUCAUUAGGUGAGACAGAUUUGCAGUCUCUAAAGUCUACCUUUCUUAUGUUGAUUACAUACCUUCUAAUCAAAAUAAAUACAUAUGUCUGUCUUUGAAGUUAAAUCACAUUGAACAGUAAAGCUCUUGUGCCUUUCUUCUUUAUCCCAGCAUUGCUCUUUAACCUCACAGGAGGCUCAAUGCUUAACAACCAGCCCCGUUCCCCAUAAAUUGAAGCCAUAUCAGCUCCUUUUUAAGCUUGUGGGAGUUCAGGUUGUUCUGUGCUUCCCAUGGGCUGAGGGAAUGGAGAAAGCCGGAGUAGUUGUAGCAUUGGUGGAACUCAGUUUUUGAGGCUCUGGAUAAGAAAAUUGAGGAUGUUACAGCAAACCACCCAUUUAUUUCCUGAGAAGAUGGGAGAAAGUUCUUCUGAAGAGUUGCCCCUUACAAACUGUUUUCCUCUGCACAAGAUUUAGAAAGAAGUAUUUUUAAAUAAUAUAGCAUAUCUCCUCUUCAGCUGAGAAGUACAGACACAGUGUGGGUAAGUGGCUUUGAGAAAGCAUUUUCUUGGACUGAUUUAAGCCACAGGUAGUACAGAAUAAAGUCAAACUCACAGAAAUAACAUUGCUAAUUUUUCCGUUGAACUCUGGCCAGACACUAAAUGAAUGCAGAUUAAGACUUCCAAAAUUGUGUGCAAAAAUAAUAAAAAGAAUAUACAUUACUAGUUGAGCUUUUGCAGUUCCUUGUAGGUGCUAAAGAUUGGGAUAUGAAUUUAGGGGAGCUAGGGCAACUGGGCAGAAGGAUGGAUGCCAGAGUAGGAACUACAAUCUAAACUGUGUGUAGUCUGAGUGUUGUGUGCAGGGGGCUGAGCAGCUUGAGGAUCCCUCUCCUCCUCAAGUCCAUUGUGGCUAUGAUGGAUGGAACACUUCUAAAACAUUCUAAGAAGGUAUAUAGGAGUGAACUGGCUGUAUGUAGUUGCUACUGGACACCAUGGUUCUCAUCCAUGGCGACAGCAGAAAAUACUGUGAAAUAGAUAUCAUCCCAUGAGCCACAUCCAACUUCUGGCUUAUCUUGAUCUAAUAUGCUACAUCAAUAUCAAGUUAUAGCAUCGUUAAACGUUUACAUUUACAUAUAUAGAGAUGGAGGAGAGUCUUUAAAAUAUACGCAUACACCAAAAAACGCAAACUUUUUUGGCAUUUAUACAGAUAAGGCUAUUUUUAUUGGCAAAUAUUUUGCUUGGCACUGAUUCAGCAUGUACUAAUAGCUUAAUAAUUUUGGCAGACACACCAAUGAAAAAUGUUACUGAACCAGACCCAAUUAUGUGUAUAAAAUGUAAACAGUUGUGUCUGCUGGGGAUAACUGCAGUAUGUUGUCAAGCCAUGGCUGUAAAUUACGUGUGAUAGAUUGCUCUAAAUUUGUUUUUGACAAAUGACCGUCUGAUGAGGUUGUUUCAGGGCCACACAACUGAUGGAAGGACAUUAUCAGCAGAGCGUAAUGCCAACAUGGUUUUUGUUUCAGUUCUUGGGCCAGCUUUCCAAAGUUUGGCAGCUCUGACAUAAGUUUCAGACUGGUUUUAUGCUGUUUGCUUUCCAAGCCUCCAAAAUGUCCUCAUGCUAAAAUUAUAAUGAGUUAAUUCCUGAUGAUUACUUCUUAUUCUCCAUAUUAACCAUUACUGAAAUAAUUAAUUAGGCUCUUUUUUAAUCUGGAAAAAUUCCUAUUGCUUCAUCAGAAAGUGAAGUUUUAUAGUGUAUCUUUGAAAGAAUAACAAAGUCCUUUCUUACCUCCUUUACAAUGCCUAUUUUACUAAGCCAUAUAUAUGUAUGUAUCUGUGUACUUGUAUAUAUGCAUAUAUGCUGUUGAAACUACCAUUCCACCCUUGUAGCUGAAAAGCAACUCUGGAACCAGCUACAAAUGCUUUCAGGAAGAAUUUGAGUUAAGCCAGGACUGCAAUUAAAGAAUUGCUGUUUAAAAUGGGUGGAGAUCAUUGGAAAAAGGGGGAAAAAUAAUGAAGCUUUUCAGAACAUGGCAAUAAGGAGACCUCUCGAGCCCAGCACCUGGUGGAACCAUUGAGUACGCUCUCCCACUAGCUUAAAUUAGAGUAACACUGCAACGCAGCGGGAUCCUGCUAAAAGCAGGCAGGUUGGGAAGAGAUUUAAAAAAGUCUUUUCUGAUGCAUUCAGGUAGAAGAGUGUAAAGUAAAUAAUGAAGCCGAAGGGCAGCUCACAGGAGCGUGACUUUGCAUUCCUUUGGCGCCUGCUGCUGUGGGGCUCAAGGAGAGCGCAGAAGUUGAACUGCUGAAGGAUGUACAGCUGAACUACACAAUGUUCUGCUCCUCUUUGGCUGAAAGUCGGCAUCAGUGUGAAAAAAAGAAGUUUGAAUGCAACUCGGUUGGAGCGUAGCAUGCCACCAAUCAUUGCCCUUAUCAGACUUUUCCAGAGAGCCUAUAAACAUGCACACUUCAUUAAAUGGCAUGUUAUAAAUACGGGUGAGUAACAGCAUUUCCUUGGAAAAGAAAGCAGGCUUUUAUUUAUCACCACCUUUCUCUGAUCGUCAUAUUCUUGUAGUAGUAGACAGCUAUUAGGAUUUUAGGUUAUUGACAGGGCUUUGUCAAGCCUUAUAUGAAUAAGCUUAAUUUUUAAAUAACAACGGCUUAUUUAUUUAGUAGUUUCAAAAUCUCGUUUUCUCUGAAAAUUUUCCAGCCCUGGAAGUCAAUUUACUCCUUUGGUUCCACAAUAGUAUAACAGUAAUUAUUUUUUCAGGUAUCCACUGACAGAGGUAGAGAAAACAAAGGAGAAAUAUUGGUGUUGUUAACUGGAAAAUAUGCUUUGGGUAUUGAUCUAACUGGAUUUUUAUUUGUAUAUCAUUAUAAAUAUUGUAAAACACAUCUGUAACAAAGAAUGAAAACCAAAUUUGGAAUAACAAUUAUAUGACACAGUAAAUACAGAAUUGGAACACUUCAUGUCUAGUUAAAUAUUUUUUCAAGACAGAUGAGAUAAGAAAAAAUAAAUUGCUAUAGAUUGGACAGAAGUGCUCUAACUCUCUGAAUGUUACUGAUACAGAAUGGAUACUCAUGAUAGGGUAUGAUUAAAUUUCAGUCAGAUAUUCAUUAGAGAAGAUAGGAUUGAGAGCAAAAUUCUUCAAACAUGGGAAAUUGUUUGCUUAGUGAGAUUUGCCUCAGUGCAAUCUACCUCCUCCUCCACAAAAUGACAUACAGUGACUUAAAACACACUUUAUAUGUGUGUCUUUCCUGCCCUGAUGCACUUUUGCAACUGAUUGUGCUAAUAAAAAAGAAGUAAUCACACCAUGGACUUUUUCUGAGGUCACACGAUCUGUUUAUUCUUGUCUUUCCUGAAUCUUUACUACCUUGACCAAGAAAUCAACCCCAAGUGAUAAGUACAUAGGUCAGGACACUUGAAUCUGAUUUUCUGAGUUUAUCUGCUUAGGGACUGGUGGGAACUCACUCUUUGUCCUCAGUGCAUAGCCAGAGCAUGCAGCAGCUAUUGCAGCUGAAGAUGAGGUCUGUGAUCCUUCAUCUGAAGAGGGAUGCAGAAUUUUCUUGAAUCCUGCAUGCAGAUUAGGCAGGUAUCCUGAGAAAUCCACCUUUCAGUGGGAUUUCAAUGAGGAAGGAAGACCAAGUCUAUUCACCAUUGUUUCUUUAUGGUUGUUUAGAGAAUGAUAGCUUACUUCAUGGAAUCAUAGAAUGGCUUUUGGUGGAAGGGUUAAAAGACCAUCAAGUUUACUAACCCAUUGCAGGGGAGUUGAAACUGUAUGGUCUUUCAACCCUCCUGCAAUGGGCAAGGUUGCAAAAUUUUAUUUUUAUUUGUGAUUUGAGUGUCUGGGGUUUUGUUGUCAGUUGUGGUGGGGUUUUUUUUGUUGUUGUUGUUUGGUUGGUUUUUGUUUGUUUGUUUGUUUGUUUUGCUGUUUUUAAUAGGAGAAAUAAUUUAAUUAAGCUACAUAGGAACUUCUGGCCUGUUUUCCUCACAUACUCAUCAGUUAUGGUUAGCAACCUGGGACCUGCACUGCCUCAUCUAUUGUAUCCCAGAAUGGCAAAGAUGCUAUUCCCAGUUGUAACAGAGAGAUGCUGAAAUGAACAGGAGAUAUAAAAAUACACAUUGGGCCAAGUCUCACAGUUUGCAACAUGGAUUUCACUGACUAGACUAUAUCUACAAGUGGAUAUCAUCAGGGUGGCAGGUAGGGAAGAAACCAGUAUCACCGCAACUAUCUUCGGUUUGUACUUCAGCUAUCAGUAAUACGUAGAUACCUAGAUUUUAUUUGAAUAAUCUUUAGAUUCUUGAGUAGAUUGAAUCCUCGAUUCACUAGUGUUUCUUAAUUUCUUCUGCCUCUGUAGAUUGGGCUUCAGAUAAAUACUAGCUGUUUUCUAAUUGCUUCUCAUCAUCUGACAGGCAAUUCUCAUCAUGAUUAAGUUCUCCCCUCUGGUCUACACCUUCAAAACUCUGCAAUCUUUCAUGUCCCUUGUUCUUUAACAUUUAUUCCUUUCACUUCUCUUUUUCUACACAGUCUUUACAAUUGACCAACAGUACUGACAAUCUAAUUUAGAUCUCCAUUUCCAUGGGACAGAGGAAUUUUCUUCCCAAGUACCUAUUUUUUUUUUUAUGUGGAGUAGUAGUUCAUGAAGAGACAUAAAAAAAUAGUUGUUCUCUAAAGAGUAAGACAAAAAUCAAGAUUCUUAAGCUGAAGAGCUAGCCUGAUAUGGUACCAUAGUAUAAUAGAAUCACUGAGGUUGGGAAAGACCACUGAGUCCAACCCCAACCCAUCCCCACCAUCACAUCCCUCAGUGCCACAUCUCCACAGUUCUUGAACACCUCCAGGGACAGUGGCUCCACCACUUCACUGGGCAAUCUGUUUCAAUACUUCACCAUUCUUUCUUUGAAGAAAUUUUUCCCAGUAGCCAACAACCCGUCAUAUUAUGCUUUCAUGGGUAACAAUGAUGCUAGAGUCCAGAAACCUUAAGAGAGUUGCUUUAACACCAGAGUAUAGAUCAGAUAUAUUUCAACUUAACACAUGCAAGGAUAUUAUGUUUUAAAUUGUUGAGUGGGAAUAGCUGGAGGUUAUAGGCUAGUUAUUUUAAUAUUAAUGUUUACCUAUGUGUCAGUAGUAUAAAAUAUACAGAGUAAAAGGGGGUGAAAUCCAGUAAAAAAUGGUGUUUUUAGUAUUGUUCCUUACUUGACAGACAAGCUAAUUCAUUUCUCUCAUCCUCAUACAUGAUGCAAAGAUCACUUGCUAUUUUCUGGCUUGUGGUGAGUGAAAACUUGCAUAUCAUGCUAGCUUAUAAAUUUCAUUGCUUUCCAUCUUUGCCAGCAGGGCAAAUUGUGGUGUUUAUAACACUCUAAACACAGUCAUUUAAAUGGGGAACAGUGACAGUCCAUCAGGGAUUUGAAAAUACGUGAGGUGUUUCUGAUUGCGUCCUGACCUGAUAGCACAAAGCAAACAUCAAUAGACUGAUCAUCAGUGAGAAUGACUUACAACAAGGCCAAAUCCUGUCCCUUUGAAGAAGCUGAUAUUAUUGACCUCAGGGAAAAAAAAAAAAGAAAAGAAAAGAAAAGAAAAAAGACUUACAGGCAUAAAAAUUGUUAUCCUAUAUUUGCUAUACUGACAUAUAGAAAGAUCCGUAGAGAUUUUUCAGCAGAGCUGCUCACAUGUUGUUGACUUGCAAUUAUGUGGGGUGACCAAAUGUAAGAGUGAAAAUGAAAUUGUAGAAGAAAGAAAUGUUUACCAGACACAGGGAAAAAUAUUUUUAAUAGUAGAACACUUUUGGUUCUUCAAAGUUCACAAAGAACAGAAAGGUUCCUGAUGUUUUGAUCUUAAUCUGGAAAAUAAUAAAACCAUACAUCCAAGGAGAAGCAUGUAACUGAUUUGUACCAAAAAGAUGGAAGAAGCAAUUCUGGCAGUAUCUUCACCCACCAUAACCAAAAGUUCAGCUCUUCUACUUCCAGAAAGUUUAAAACCUAAGUGUGAUUUCAGUGCAUAUUUCAUGAUCUACUAAAGGUCCCUAUUCCACUCUAAACAGAGUCUUGGACACAUGCAUACUUAAAAUGGAAACACAGAACUUCUUGAUGAGUAAUUUAGGGGAUCUGAAUCCCACUCAGUCAUUCUGGGAAUGAGUUGCACUCAGGAAUUUUAAGCGAAUAUCUGACUUAUCCACAAUGGAUGGAAAUGAUGCUUUAGAAAUGUUCUUAUGUAUUUUGUAACCAACUGUAGGAUCUGAGGUAUUUCUGACAUCUUUUCUUCCUCCUUCAGAUUUGAGUAGGAACUAGGAGGACUUAAGGAGCAAUUUCACUACUGAAAUCAGUGAGAAUUCUUACAGAAAACUUAGCACAUAUGCAUUACAGUUGCACCAAAUGCUAGUAGUGGACAUUGUACAAUCAUAUGUAAGAAAAAAAUAUUCAUUGGAGGUUGAAAUUGGUUAUUAAGAAAAAGUUCUCCUCAGAAGGAGUGGUGAGGAAUUGGAAUAGGCUGCCCAGUGUAGUGAUGGUGUCACCAUCCCUGGAGGUGUUCAAGAACCAUGGAGAUGUUGUACAGAGAGACAUGAUUUAGUGGGCAUGGUGGGGAUGGGUUGAUGGAUUGACAACUGGACUUGAUGAUCUUAGUGGUAUUUUCCAAUCUUAAUGAUUCUGUGAUUCUGUGACUUUGGCCUUAAAGAAUACAUAACAGAAAUUUAGGAAAAGGCUUGGAUUCAGACAUGAAGGCUCUGCAAGUUUAUAGACAGUGGCAUCCCAGAGAGAAAAUCAAGUCCUCUGGCAUUUCAUCCUAUCCUUAAGCUUGUAGUGCAUCCCUCAUUAAAUGGAUUAAAUGACUGAUCUCUAUCAGCCCAGGCUGAUGUGGCAUAGACACUGGGGAGUCUCAGAGAUGGAGAUUUGGGGCUGGAGAGAAAAAAAAUAGCAGAGAUCAUCAAGCUUUUCUGUAUAAGAUAGAGUGGUGUCCACUGAGGCAUUUUCACAAGAUUUCUCCCUUCUCGUAGGGGAUUUACAAUGUUGGCUAUGCCCUCAGUGUGUCCUGCUUUUUAUCUGUGGCCCACAGUAGAUUUUAUCUCUUGUGGCUAUAGGUACUGGAGGUCUUGGUAUUGUUAUGCUGUCUCGAGGAGUGAUUUAUGGCUUGUUUUUGGUGUGUGCAGUGGGUGUUUUGUGGACAAGGGCUUGGCUUUGUUGCUGAAUAACUCGAUGUUUGCAUUAGGAGCCUUCCUGCCAAGUCAGGCAUCUCCGGGGUGGAGCUGCUUCCCCUGAUGUGGGCUACGCUAAUCCCUGGGGGAGAGAGGCAUACAUCAUCUGAAUGCCUAAAUUUAGGUUGGUAUAAUAACCUGUGAUUAUAGGGGACUGGACAUGAUGACAAAGGCAGUUCCCUCCAUUUCUCAGGGUGAUAAUGACGACCUAUGAACGGUGCUCUAGCUCUUUUUACCUAAUUCUUUCUACAUUGCUAAAGAAUAAAACAAUAGAGAGUGGAGUUUCAGCUCUCUAGUGAGUUUAACCAAUUACUGUUUUCCUUCAAGCUAUAUAAAUUGUGCGCAUUUAAUAUUUAGUUAUGUCCAGACUGUUUACACUAAUUUUCAUUUAUACAAAGCAUCUAGUAACAAGAGGUAGAGCACAUUUCUUUCCCUAUUUCUCUUUUGAAUGAAAGCCUUGAGGGAAGCCCGCAGUUUUUGAUCGUGCUCUACUUUGAUGUAAGCAAAUGUUUAAGUUAUGCUCUGGCAGAAUGUCUGAGACUUGUGUUCAUGAAUGAUGCAGGAUUUGUCCUCCCUCCUUGGCGGCUCUAUUUAUAGCCACCACUGUUUUUAUUUUCCGUGCAGUCAUGAGAGAAAAGGUGAGAAGGAAACAACCACAAGUCCUUUGUCUGAGCACGGCUAAGUUUGUUUGUGUGUUUUGCUCUAUUUUAUAUUCUUCCAUGCUGUGUUUCAUCUGUCUAUCUCUAGACCAGAUAAAGGCUCUUUUCCCAGCCCUGGGCUCCAGGGACUCAAAUCUCUACUGCUCUGUACUCAACAGCAUCACGUACUCUACAGCGAUAUGGCUGCAAAGCACUGCCAGAGGAAAACAAUCAGCUUAUUUCUGUGUUCCCUUAUAGUGCAUUUGCUCUCCCGACCUAUACAUUGCUGCUGUUUUUGCCAGUGUGUAAAUCCAAACCAGCCCACAUUUACACAUAGAAGAGACUAAAUCACAAAAUCUGUUGUGUUUUUUCCCCAGCAUGUUCUCAUUUAUGUUUGUUUUUUUUUGUUGUUUGUUUGGUUGGUUUGUUUUGUUUUUUUUUUUUCCUUUCAAAGCUUUUCUUUGUCCCAUCAGACAGUAACCCAAGGCUGUGUUUGGAUCAGAGUUGUCUGCUGUGUUAAGGGCUGGGAUGAUGUGAUAAGACUGCGCAGUGGGCCAGCAAUGGACAGUUGUUCUCCAGGGGAAGAUGUGCGGCUCUAAGCUGCAGCAAGGUAGUGAGAAAGAAAGCAGGAUUGAUCCCUAAGUACUCAUCUGUGGUGGACUCACUGCAUUGUUUUUGCAGCAUUUGAUGGUAAAGCUUGCACUCAGCUCCCAGGUGGAAGGAAAACUGCCUAUCCCUGGCAGAAAACAGGACAUAAGGUAGUCUACUAACAGGGAAUUAGCUCCAGUGCACCUGGCUCUUUUGUCAAAAAAUCCUCUGCUUUUCCAUAUCUUUCUAUGACUCAGGAUUGCUGUAAAUGUCUGCACUGAUGCUGUGUAGGAGCCUAGGAGGUUGGGAUCUCAGCAACAGAUACCCCAAUAAAACCUUUACAAGGAACAAUAGUACAAAGACAAAAGAGACAAAAUGGACUGUGUUGAGUUUGUGUUCAACAGCCAGUUCCCCUAAUGAAGGCAGAAAGAGGUACAGUUGGAUCCAUCCACAAAAUGACUUUUUCUUCAGGGUAAGAACAGUAGGAAGCAAACUCUGAACACUCAUAGAUGAUGUUUUCAGGGACACAAUAGCAUGAUCCAAGAAAAUGUGGCAAUUAGAGGCUUAAUUAAAAACGAGUGACUCAGAAAUGCGAGCUAGAGGAGAACCCAACAAUUAAGUUGUAUGUAACAGAACAAAAGCUUUUCAAACCCUGCAGAGUUUGUUUUGCCAGGAUGCCCUCCUGCCUCACCAAAGGGGCUCUGCUGCCCUGCCUGAUUUUGUGAGUGAUCAGAUCUGUGCCUGGAGUUCAUAAGCAAAUCUGUUUUCCAAUUCCUUUAUAUGUUACCGUUUCCCCUACUUUUUGUUUUGGAAGUACAUGUUCACUACAUCCAGUGCUCAGAUCAUCUUCUAUGGCUAGAGAAGUGAUAUCUCACAUGGAUAUGAACUAGCAAGAGUCUCAGCAUCUCACAAAGCUUGAAGUCUCAUGGCCAAUUGUAGGGAAUCCUCAGUGGAGAUCCAGCUGCUAAGAAGAUAUUUUGCAGUCUCACAUCUCAGGAGUUUGCUAUACUAAAAGAAAGCACACAUUUCCUGAGCACAGUACAUUUUCUCUCUUCACGUUUUUGGCUGUAUUUUAGUACUCUGCAUGGUACUCUGACAUUUGAAGCUUCCCAGUUAUCAUAGUUCCAAGCAGAAACUUCUGGCCAGACUAACUUUUUCCCAAACUUUUGGAGAUUGUCCUUCAUAAAAGUGGAGCCACCUUCCCUCUUUUGCAACUUUUUAAAGAUUAAUCCCAAACCACAAAUUUUUCCAUUUCUUUUCAUAGUGUUCUCUAAACUUGGAAAAAUUCUUGUCCAUUAUAAUUACUCUGAUAUGGCUUUUACAGAUACUAAUUCCUCACUAGUGAACAGCAGUUUUAAUGACAUUCAAAUAACAUACACGAUGAAAUAUUAUCAAAUACAGCUUUUUAAUGGUACCCACUUGCUUGCCCUAGAUAAUUAUCAAGGUAGUACGCAACAAGGUCGUGUCUUUGAAACCCUGUCUCAAAGCUCAGAUAGAGAACGUAAGGUAGGUAAUGAAAGAAUAUAUAAAAGAAAACAAUGGUAGAAAGGAUUUAAAUAGUGACUUCUCUAGGAAGAACUGAUGACAGACACCUGCUCUAGGGAAAGAAUAGAGAAAGGUCUUCAGAAGGAAUAAGCAGUAGAUCUUGGGUUUCAGAAGGGAGUCUUUACUUUACAGUACUACACAGGAGUCAUUGCAUUUUUGCUAGUAUUGGAAUUGCUGUUUAAGAUACCUUAGACUGAGUGAGCCCAAUGGACAACACAGAGAUCAAACCCUCAUCGUCCCCAUUCUGAUGAGUGCUUAUCAAGAAAUAACUGAGAACAGAAGUCUAACAGGCACAGGCUUCCCAGCAAACAUAGUAUUACCUUUGAGCCUUGACCAUCUCUGAGAUUUGUCUCACCAUGUUGCAGCUUUAUAAACAUUAACUGUUGUGUUUCCCUCCUCUCUCUCUUUUAAUAAAAUAAAAUACAGGAAAACUGAGUAAAGACACGAAACUAUGCAGGGAAAGAAAGAGGGGCAACGUUAUGUGGGUAUUAAACACAUAGAGGCUGGGUACACUGGUGAAACAUGGUUAUCAGUCCCACUAUUGCAGCUGCCAUACCAUAAGCGUACGUGAGAGGGGUUCUACCUGAAUUUCAGUUAAUAAUAGUGUUAGAAGAACACUGGAAAUAAAUCUUAACUAACCCCACACACUAAUUUUACUUCCACCGGCUUCCAAUUGAAAAAUAAUGUAUACAAACAUCCUAGAAUAGGAACUAGAUCUUGUUUCUUUUUACUCUGAUGGGAAUAAAUGCCACAUUUGCUCUAUCAGUAAAUAACAUUAAAUAUACAAUAGAGUCAUUUGCAGAAGAAUUUCAUAGAAAAUCAAGUGUUUGUUUUGUGUUUUUUUUUUCUCUUGCACAUUUGGAUUUUUUCGCUUACUGUUGCACUGUGGUAAAAUACAGCAAUGACAGAAACAUGAAUGCCAAAUGAAAUGAUUUACCUUUACAGUCAUCCUAAAGGGGCAAAAAUUCAUUAUAUAGACACCAGAGUAAUGCAAAGGUGAAUGAGGCUUCCUGAUGUACUUUGUUUUUCAGACAUAUUCUUGAGAAGAUCACCGAUACUCUAAUCCUUCUAUUCAUUUCCAUAUCUCAGCAGUAAUACCUGGUGGUAGUUCAGUACUGAAGUGUGAUGAUACUUUGUGCUAAUGUUUUGAAGAAGGCACACAGAGUUAGGGAUUAUAAUAUCAAAUUUUGCAAGACUUGAGUAACAUGUCUGCUUAUCUUUCAUUUACUUCACAUUAGCUGAACAAAUUACCACUCUCUGCAGUUUAAUCAACUGCUGUGGAUCACAGUAUCAAGCUAAAAAUAAAUGAGGGUGGAUUAAUGAAAUAGUCAAGGAAUAUGUCCAAACACUCAGCUGGUGAUUUCUUUUUCCAGUAUUUUUCUUUCUACGUUGUUGAAAGAGCAGUGUUGUACUAUUGAACUUCUACUGUAAAAUACUAUUGACUGUUCUUUUACAGCUUUGCCUCUCCUGUGUUCGUUUACCUUUGUAACAUUAUGUAAAAAUCUAUCAGAUAAGAAUGGUAGGCAGCUGCUUUCCAUUUGCAUUUGUCACCAUCGGUAGCAGAUUUGAUGCUGAGAAGCUUCAACAGAACCUCUGGGAAUCAAUCCCUUAUCCAGGUUUCAAGUCAGGGCUGAAAGCACCCCUGACUGAAGGACUGUUCCUCUUAAGGAUUAAAUGAUUAUAAAGGGUAAAUGGCAUGGAAGAGUAUGGCUCUUACUGGCUUCAAUCCUGUCCUUAUGCUAGUGUCUUUGAUUGCCCCUUCCUGGAGGCAGUAAGGGCUCCAUCUCUGUUUUUAGUGCCUGGUUAACGGUGCCUCCUCCAGCUACAUAGCUUUGCUCUCCUCUCUGCUCCCUCCACUCCUGUGCUGUUCCUGUCCAGCCCCAUUAGAUGGUUGAAGGUGCUUCAAAUACCUAAUCAGGUUAAUCUGAACAUCAUUUUGGCCUUUAUUGUCCUCUCCUUUUACCAGCUUAUAGGCUAAUCUAUUUUGCAUCCCUCUUUUCUUCAAAUGCUCUCCAGGUCUUCUUAGUAGCACACUAGAAAUCUUGUUAAGAGCUAUCUGAUUUCUCCCACAGACUCUCCUUAUGCCAAGUUACCAUGCCACAUCUAGAUUCUGUGUACACAGCAUGCCUUCUAAGUACACAGCCAAUCCGUAGCCAUGUAUGGAGGAUCUGGUUACCAUCACUACUUGACGUGUGCUCAGACCCUUCAAAGAUCUGUUGUACUUCUCUGGACACGCUUCAUGGCCACGGUAGUAAGUGACUGACUUGCAUUUGAGGAACUGUGUCUUCAACUCAUGUAGCAAAAUUCCAUGCAUCUGACGCUGAAAUGAGAUUCUCUUUGAUAAGCCUCCCCUGUGCCAUGAGGUCUUUCAUGUAGUUAAAGAACCACUUUGAAUUUUGGAUUCUUCAUAAGAUACAACAUUUAUUAGGGAUCAUUUUAAAAAGUAAUAUUAUCAUAAAUCAAGUAACUAUCAUAAAAGAACAAUUGUUGGCAUAUCAUUUUGGUCUGGAAUGUGUAACAAAACUGACACAGAUGACCUCAUGCCUGUUACUGCAUAAACCUGUAUUUAGCUAACUGGCUGUUGGGGUUGUAAGGCACUGGGACGUGUUGCCAAGAGAAUUUAUGGAUGCCCAGUACCUUAAGGAGUUCAAGGCCAGGCUGGAUGGAGUCCUGGGCAGCCUGAUCUGGUGGCUGGCAACCAGCCCAUGGCAGGGGAGUUGGAGUUUGAUGAUCUUUAAGAUCCUCUCCAACCCAAUUCUAUGACUCUAUGAUUCUAUGAUUUGACAUGAUUUUCAUUUCUGUGUCCACGUCAUUGUCAGCAAUCAAUGAAAAAGAUUUUUAGUGCAAAUGUAGACCAGUGAUGCCUAGAAAUGUAGCACUUCAAACCAUAGAAGGUAAACAUAAUAAACUGCCAUUUUGUUGCAAGUGUUUCAGCAGAUUACAAGUCGUGGUCAUUCACGUCACUUGUCUCGGAGAUGGAUUUAUUUAUUCGUAGAUUCAGUGCAAUGCUAAGUCCACAAGAAGAUGGAGUUCCUAAAGUGCUAGCUGAAGGAUAAAGCUGCCUUAUCUUCUUCUGGAUUGAGAUAAAAUAAAAAAAAAAUAUAAUAAAAUAAAAAAUUUACAACCAAGGAUAAACAUCUUCUCUUGCAAGGCUAGGAGUAGAGUUACCACACAUUUACACUUCCAUAAAUGAGAUCAAAUUUGGCCCUUCUUAAUUAAUCCUGGGUCAUGGUGAGAUUUUACAGCUCUUUACUCUGGAAAGCCUGAACUAACAUCAAAGUGUAUAUUUUAAUUGACAAGUGUAUUCAAUGCCAGAAAGGGGUAUAACAUGAAAAGGGGAUUAACACCCAGCUGUGCUCUAGAGGAAAUUUAAGGCACAGACAUACUGUAGAUCAGAUAAAGUCUGCAUUAAUGCUCACAAAUUUGAACUUUCAUUGUCUUCACUAAUGCUAAGCAUUUCACAUCUGCCAAUUAAGUCUCUUCAUUCUGGUGCCCUCUCUGUAGUGGUAGGUCUGUUCACUUUGACUCUCUGUUGCUAUUCAAUUACUGCAGUGAUGGCUGCACAUCUUCAUAGCUAGCAGAGGAUUUGCUUCCUCCCUGAGGGUACUACAAAGCUGGAACAAGCUGGCAGUUUCCAGAUCUCCAAAGAAUACUCUUCACAAAAGCAAGAACACUGGAAUAUAUUGAAGCUUAGUGAUGUUACUUGGUGGCUCUGAUUCUCCUCUCUGUCAAAGCUGCUAUGAGAAGAAUCUCCUGCCUUCAGUCAAGCUAUCAUCUCAACCACCCUCCUGGGCCACUUUCCAACAGCUGUUGCGAUAAGUUAAGGAUUAUUUAGGGGCCAUUACAAACUGUUAGGGAUUGCCAUUGAGUAAGGAAUCAAGCCCACGCUUCAUACAAAUAACAAGCAGAUGUUUGGAGGGGAAGAUGCUUUUAUGGCAGUUCUGCAGUUCCAAAGGUUUUCUUUACAGAGGAGUGAUCCUUCUAAUGCCAACAGUAUGAAUUUAGGCUUUCUUGGGGUCAACGAAUUGCCUUCUGGGUUUGUGGAGAUUACCCCAUCGUUGUGACUUAGAAAUAGAUCUCCAUUAAUUCUAAAUACCUUUAUUUCUUUUUCUGUUACAAUACUGGGCAGUGGUAAAGUGAUUAGGAGCUUGGCCCACAUCUGCCAGGCUUUUACAGUCAUUGGUACGUAUGCACAGUUACUUAGCCAAUACAGUAAACCUAUGAGGCAGAAGAGAGUCUACCAAGGUAUUUUGUUCUACUCCCAAUCCAAAAUAAGACUGCUCAUCUACAUACAGCAUGUUUCUAUAGUGCUCUAGGAAGUCCUAUUUCAGAUGUUUGAUUUAUUUAUUUUUAUACUACUUCCUCAGGGGAUCUGAUCAUAAGUAAAAUAUUUCAUUAUAUUAGUCAGAAAUCUCCUUUUUCUUAAUCAAAUCUUCUUAAUAAAGUAUCACAGAUAUCCAUUCCUAUUGUUCCUUGUUGCUUUGGUCUUUCAUACUUCUGUGAAUUUUUAUAACCCCUUUGUCUCUAACGCUUGCCAAUCUGCAUGCAUUUAUUGCAGAUGUUUAAUAGAUCAAUCCUUUUUACCCAUUCCCUUUAUGCUUUCCUCCCCACACACACCCUCUUCAGCAUACUGAUAUAUUUUGGUAACCAUCUAGGGAUAUAUGACACACUCUAAGCUGGCUCACUGCAGAAUCACGUACAGACAUGCAUGCUUCCAUGCUGAAGGAGGUACUGUGAAACUGCAGUGAGCUAGUGGUGCCACUGGGUCGAUGAUUUGAACAGAUGAGGACACUGUUUCCCCCAUCCGCCCUCCUAAUAACACCCUAAAUCAAAUGAAAGAAACAAUACCUCUGCUCUUAUUGCUCAUGUAGUGUAGCUUUGACAGGGAUAUAGGACUUCAAAACAGGGAGUGAACACCCCCACUGUUCCAUUACAGUUUAUUUGUAAAAUGCGAAGAGUAGUGGAGCAGCUAGGACAUCUGUUGAGAACAAGGAGGAAAUUCUUUACUCAGAGGGCAAUGAGGCCCUGCCUGGCACUGCUGCCCACAGAGAUGUGGGGUCCCAUCCCUGGAAGUAUCCAAGGCCAGGCUGGAUAGGGCCCUGGGCAGCCUGAGCUGGUAAGGGGCAACCAGCCCAUGGCAGGAGUUGGAACUAGAUCUUUAUGCUCCCUUCCAAGCCAAGCCAUUCUAUGAUUCUGUGAACUCAGCGGACUCUCCUUUUCAGCCUGAAGGGACUAAAACUCCCUUAACAGAAGUAUAUCAGUCAACAGGCAGCAGUGCAGGAAGUGUGGAGGCCUGAUAGUCUUCAAGAGAGAGAAAGAAGGGGAACAAUUCAUGGAAAAAGGAAUUACUUUGGCACUGUGUUAUGGAACACAUAUAUAAGACUGAAAACUUCUUGGUUCUGGUCUGCUUUUAAGAUUACCUCCUCUUUUACAGGUAUGGAAGAGCAGAACUUCCAGUAACCCUUUGCAUAUAUUGGACUAUACAAAAACAAAUAAAGCAAUUUAAUUGUAUUGGUAAGAGGAUUUGGAUUUACAUGCUUGUUCUGGCAUCACUGAGACUCAGCUGAACUGAUCUAGGUCAACUUUUACUGAGCAGGCAACAAAUUUUUCUGGACAGAUGAAGCCAUCAUGUCCUGACCUCAUUGCUUCUAAUAUGCCAUGACAAGCUUAUGUGAUCUCCUUCUAUUCUCAAAACAGACUCUCCAGUGUAUGCACCUUCCUGUCCAUAUUAGACUAACAGAUAAAAAGUUCAGUUUCUGUCUUUUACAUAUGUUUCAGUGGCUCAGGUCUUAACAUAAGAGAAGUUUGAAGAACAUCACAUUACAGUAGGCGUAGAUGGAUUAUCACCACUGCACAGUCUUUUCCAGGAUCUUCUUCAAGGUCCUCUUUAUUGUCUCCAGCAAUGACUCACAAAGCAGUGACACAAACAGCAUGGUCUACAUGGAUCUUCUACUCCACACGAAACCACUUCUCUGUUUUGUGGCCAACAUCCCCAGCGAAGUGUGACAGAAAGUAUCUGAUCCAUUUAUCAGACAGCUUGCAAGUGGUUAUCAGGGCUUGCUAGCCUCAAGCUGCUUGGGUCUUAAUGAAACAAGAGUUCCUGAUACAGAUCUUGCAUUUCUGCUGUGUAUUUCCUCCAUUGUGCCAGUCUUUUCCUUCAUUUGGGGUACCACUACUCUCUUCUGUACCUUCAAAAUAAUUAUUUUUUCAUAUGUUUACAUUUCUGACCAUGGAGCACUCCUAAAUUUGUUAAACUCCAAAGCACCUUCAAGACCUGUUUGGUUCUUUUGAUGUUCUGGAGCUUGAUUAUCUUAAUUUGGAAAGAAAAACUCCUUCUUGGUUGCUAAAAAAAGUCUACACUAACUGAAGGCUUCUCCUUAUCUUCCUCUGAUCAGGACAGGUGUUUUUUAACUCUGUCCAUGUUUACCAAAAAAUGAGGUUCCUUUAGAUCUACAUAAACUACCCUCCUGUCUUUAGAACUAAUCUAAUCUCAACUAGCAGCAGUUAUGUCACUGCAUGAAUUCUGAUUUAGAACACUGCUUGGUCCUCUGCUGUCAAACAAGUGCCUUUUUAGAGAGCUAAAACAUGUGUCUGACAAUUGCUGUCUGAAGUCUACACAUUAAAUGAGUCUUAAAGCAAUACAGAUAAAAAGAAAUAUCCAACAAUCUAGCUCUGUUUUAUUUAAAAGUCAGUUAAGGAAAGAAAAUGGAUUAAUAGUCAAAUUAAAAAAAGAGCGUGUGAAGUCACCACUGAAAUAUCCACUCAUGACUUCAUUGAAGUAUUUGCAUAUUUGAAUACACUUAACUAGGAAGAAGGAAGCCUAGAUAUGUGGCAAGGGAAGGGAAGAAGAGGUUUUAGCUGUUAAGCUCACAAACUUGAGAUGAAAAUGUCUUCUCCAGCAGUUAAUGCCUUCCCUGCAGUGACAGGAAGGUAUUAACUUCCCAAAAUUGGGACUAGCCUAAAUGCAGUCCAAGCUUUGGAUCAGGAAUCAGAAGAUCUCCAUGCAGUUCCUGGUUCUGCUUCUGAUCGGCUAGGAGGCAUCAGGUGAAUCAUCCCAAGGGUUUGCCUCUCAAAUGUUUCCCUCUUUGCCUCUGUUUGACGAGAUGUAACUUGAGCUUUUCCAACAUGCUAUCUGUGGUCAUUCCAGACUUUCAAUGAUGGGACAUUUGUAUUCACAGCACUGCCUUUAGCAAGGAAACUUCCCUAAUUUAUGACUGUACAAUUCUUCAGUUAUUUUACCUUUCUCUUUACCUUGGUGUGAUAUCCGUAUUUGAGAACCACAAAAACAAUAAAAACGAACAUAACCCCAUAACUAGAAAGGAUUAGGCAGAAAACAAGCUCAUUUUGUGAUGAUAGAUAAGCAGGAACCUGGGUUGUUGCUAGGAAGAGCAUGACUUAGCUGCCUUUCCUUUGGCCAGGGCCAGAGCAUUUGACCUGCUUUGCCCACGGUUUCUAUCAUCUUGGGAUUUAUGAUAAAUCUACUUGAUGGAUGGCACUUUACAGAUGUCAAGCAAAGUCACAGCCCUGGCCUUCAGGGAGAGCACACCUUCAUGUCAACCAUCCUGAAGAUAAACAGCAGCAUAAAUACUGCUGCGGUAGAUAGCUUUGUUCCUGUUAGCUUUCUGCUGAGUGGUUUUCAUAGAAAAAGUGCUCAAAGAAUGUAGACUUUCAUUCAUCUAUUGGUAUGUCCUUCCAAUACUUGCUUAUUCAGCUUUCUUUUUUUUUUUUUUUAAAGGAAAAAAAAAGUGUUGUGAGUAAUUUAUAAGUGAUUGUAGAUAAUGUUGGGAAAUCAACUCAGAGACAAGCUUUCAAAAUUGGGCCACCAAGCCACUCUGGACAAUUGUGGCUCUGCAUUUCUGUCAGAUGUCUCUGAGGGAAAGUUUUUGUUUUUGUUUUUCUGGUUUUGCUUCUAAGAAGUUUCUUAUGCUCAUGGGCAAGACCAGUUCUACAAACAUGGUAGUAUCCAACUGCACGCUCUCUUGCUGGAUUCAGUGUGCUCAAAGGUUUCAAAAUCAGUUGCUUGUAAUGCAUCUUUUUAAGGUCAAAUCCUUUUGAUCGCAAAAGAUCUGAAGUUGAAGAGAGAGAAGAGAGACAGAAAAACAUAACGAAACCAUAGCUCCACACAGGCAUGAGGGAGAUCAAGAGAUGCCUUUAAAAUAUUAACAAAAUUGCAAAACAAUCCCUAGGGGAGCUUUAGAUAUAUUACAUUUGGUCACAACAUAAUUCCAAUUCAUUCUUCACCAAGAGCCAGGAGAGAUAGCAUUCACCAGUAUUCCAGUAAUCCCCCCAGAUGGCAUCUUUCUUUCUUAAACAGUCCUACAUUAUUGUUUGCAUUGUUUGUUGAUUUGCAGAACUCCAUGUAAUGGUUUGAAAUAAGAGAUUAGAGUUGGGAGGGCAACCUGACAGCAUUUCAUCUGUGCCUAGUACUGCCUUUAUUCUCAGACAAGUUGGAUCCGAGGUCCCAGUUUUUGUUACCUUUAAGUCUGACAGCUCUAAAACGGUAACCACCUUGCUCUUCCAAGUUCACUGCAACUCCCAUAGAGUAGUACUGACUUGGGUUAAAGAGCAGGAUAUCACAAGGAAAUUGCUGCUUGUGUAAUUAGCUUAUAAUCAAUAUAACAAGGACAUUUUCUUUUACAAAUGAAUCUGAAAACUACUGUAAAUACAGAGCUACCCAGUUCUGCCAGCUGCAGUUUUGGCUGUGUAUAUGCUAUCAGAUUAAGCAAUGCCAAAGGGUUACUAUUUAUCUUGUUAACUUGUUAUCUUGUUAUUUAACAGGUAAAUAACAAUUAAUAAAGCCCCCUGGCAAUGCUUUGACCUGGGCCAAAGAGUUUCCGAAUACAGCUCAGGCACUACUAACAUCAGCCAGGUACCAGUCCCAAAAGGCUGAAGACUACAGCCACCCUCUUCUGGAUACCAGAAAGGUUUAUUACACAGAUGAAUGCUUCUCCAUGCCAGUUGGCCUCAGUACCAGGGAACAGUCCCAGACUUUCAUUUACUGUAAUAAAAUAUUUGAUUUACUGGUGUAGAUAUCGCCUUCGUGUCUCCAAUUCCUGUAGAUCGGUUCCCAGAUUAGAGUGGUGAGAAAUCUGAUCGAGGACCUAUACGUUAUUAGUAUUCCUGUUUAGCAAUAAAUGUAGUGUUCAUUUGCAGCUUUUUUCCUUGUUUCUCUUAGAGAAAGUUUAAAUACACUUGUUUCCAAACUUAGAAAUUACUAAGGCCGCUUCUUAUCUCUUACUGAAAUGCUUUCAUUUCAGCCUUGACCUGUAUAAAACCUUGGGCCAGCUGGAAAGGUACUGAUGUUUUCAUACCGGUCUAUAAAAUGCAAGCACGAGCUAGAAAAGGGGUUAGAGAUGUUGGCUUUGAGGGGACGCAGACAAGCUAGUAUUAACAUAACAUACUUAAAUGCUCUUUUGGAGUGUUUUUCAGUCUGCGGCCCUAUAGGUGAAAGUGUUGAACUGACUCAGCCAAGCUCAGGUUUCCCAGCAAUUGGGUUGGGCCCACUGCCUCUCAUAUUCACAUUGUUUCCAAAAUCCUGGAGCCAAAUACAUGGUUUAUACCUCCUCUCCUCUUUCCCACACGAAGCAGCUUCCCACACCAAUAGAGAUCAGUUAAUGAGAGCUGAUAAGCAUGAAGCAAGAGAGCCGCAGGCAUGCUCACCAUAGGCCAGGGUCUCAAUGACAUCUGUCUGUGAUCCUAACACCCCCUCCUCAUAUGUUUGUGUAAAGCCUUCCCAUCAAGAUCAGGUUGAAAUUAGGAACUUAAUACCAAUCCUGGUUUUCAGUCUGCUCUACCGUCAUUGCUACAGCAGAGCUGGUGGAAGUGAGGGUGGACAGAAGCUCACAUCUCCCAUUCUCAUGCCAACCAAGUUAAUAAAUUGAAUUAUAAUGGUUGGCUUUGCAUUAAUGAGGCUCAAAAGUAGGCACAUUCCCUAAUUGUUGAUGCCCUUAUAGGACUGUUAACCUCUGGAAGAAGUGGUGAUGUGGCCAGCUGGGCUAGGAGGGAAAUAAGAUCACUGCAACUUCAAUGCCCUCACUUGCAGUCAGAACUGUGGCUGGCAGCUCUCCAGCAGGACUUGGGUUGACAGUUGGACUAAAUGUUCUUGGAGGUCUUUUUCAACCUUUAUUCCAUGCUUCUGUGCUUCUAAGAUGUCAUUCAGUAGCAGCCAGUGAUUGCUAGAGAGUGGAGAUGUGCAGGCUGGAGGGUACAGAAGAGCCCCUACACCUUCUGCACCUACCACAACUGCCAUUGUAUCCCUGCGGCUUCGGAGUAUUCCUCCCACUUCUUCCUCAGAAGCAACUGCUUAAGAAACAAUCCUCUCCAAACCCAAGACCUCUUCUUGUUUCCAUAACUCAUAUGGCUACGCAGAGACUGUUGUUUGACUCAUUGGCUUCAGUCCAAGCCAAUAUACAGGCACUAAACAAUGCCAGGGUAGGAGGUAAAACACAUGUGAAUAAGAUUUCUCUUUAUGGCUCCUUCCUUUGUAGCUGAACUUGUCCUCCCCCUGCACAUAUCCUUCCCUUUAUUACAAUUGGUAGCCUAACACCCAGGAGAAAGCUCUGCUCUGGGCUUCUCCUCCACAUUCCUGGGUGAGCUGAGGUAUGAGGGAGACAGAUAGCUGCUUAAGAUCCUUCGGUCUGGCUAACAUCUUCACACCUCUCCAUCCAGAUCUUGCAGCAUCUGGGGAUGCAGAGCAGAUGGGGGUUAUGGGUGCAGUCCUCAUUGGGACAGCAGGACCACGGGGACAUGGGAGCUACAUUUAUCCUAUGGUUUCUCAUUAAUUCCCAUUCCUACCACUCAACAGUGACCUGCAAAAACACAUUCAAUUUAUUUAUAUUUCUGCAAUAGCAUUGUACUGAAUGAGGGAGACAUGGUUGCUUCUAUCAUCACCAGGAAGGGUAAAAAUGAGCAGCAUGGGUGAGGUAAGGAAAGGCUUUUAAGGAACACUACACAAACCGAUGUUGUCCAGGAUCAUUUGAAAGCUUCAAAUGAGAAAACCAAGUAAAACAGUGAGAGUUUCCCAUCACAGAAGAAGGAAGAGAAACAAACCAGGGAGAGAGAUGAAGAAGCAGAUAGUAAAAAAAAAAAAAAAAAUCUUAUUUAAUUAGAUUUGUCCCCAAACAAGGGCUCAAUGCACUGAUCCCCCAUUGUGGGCAUUUUAUAAACUGCCAGCACCGGGUUAUUUAAGUGUCUUGAUAAUGGCCCUUGACAGAGGAAAUAAUUGAAUGCUCUUCAGCUUGUAUCAGGUCUGAAGGAACCAAACCAGCCCAGAUGAGGGCACAGGCCAAGCAGAAUGGCCUCUGUCUUUCCCUGCUUUUCUUCUUGCUGUGUCUACAAAGGAUAGAGAGUGGGUUUUUCUCUUUCGCUUUCUUUCCCAUUAACACAGUUGCAUUUUGUGAGCUAUUUGUUUACGUGAGUCUCCUCAGUUCCUACCUCUCAGGGGAGCCAUUAAUUUAUCUGCUUUGCUUUCUGUCAACAGGAGUUGACAGAGGGAGUUAUGGGUUAACUGCUCUGUUUAGAGCAAGUGGCAGGUGCUGGUAUCACUCAAGCUAAAUGAAAAUAUAAAUAUGUCCUUACCUACUCAAAAAAUCAGCUUAAAUGCACAGGCCGCAGUGUUUAGGCUCAACCUAUUUAUAAGUCUGAUGACCCAACACAGCACUGAAUGUGUUCAGUGACAGCUUGAAUGCCAAGCUGUCCCAAACCCCAGCAACAUAUAAUUAUAGUAUGAAAGUUUAAAAAAUGCCUUCCUGAUAGUAAACACUGUGCUUACAAUGUCAAGAAUGAGCCUAAUUUUGCAGAAAUACAUGCUCUAUCAAAUGCAAGGCCCCGUGAAGAUCCUCUGGAGGAUCCUUGCAUAUUGGAGGCUCCUAAAGUCAUAGAAUCACAGAAUCAUAGAAUGGCCUGGGUUGAAAAAGACCACAAUGGUCACUGAGUUUCAUCCCUCCUGCUAUGUGCAGGGUCACCAACCACCAGACCAGGCUGCCCAGAGCCACAUCCAGCCUGGCUUUGAAUGCCUCCAGGGAUGGGGCAUCCUCAACCUCCUUGAGCAACCUGUUCCAGUGUGUCACCAGCCUCCAUGUGAAAAACUCCCUUUUAAUAUCUAACCUAAGCCUCCUCUGUCUUAGUUUAAAAUCAUUCCCCCAUGUCCUAUCACUAUCCAUCUGAAAAAAUUGCCAACGUGCUCUGAGUUUCUUCAUCAGUUCAAUUUGGGUCACUUUAGGAAGGCAAUUUCCAAAAGACUCCAAUUUCUUAGUUUUGUUCCUUUUCAUCCUAAGCACUGAUACUUCGAAGGGCUGAAAUGCGUUGCAGUGCAGCCCAUGCCAUAAACGUAGAUGUUAAAAGGUUUUGUAGACAGAAUGGAGCUUAUAAAGCCCUACUUCUCUUCUUCAACAAAAUGAGUGGAAAAUGCUUCUAGAUAAUUCAGCGGGCUUUGGAUCAGACAUUCACAGAAGCCAUUGCUGGUGUGAAACCCCGUGCCAGACAGAAAUUGACACAACCAGUUCACUCCUCAUUGGUCAGAAAUACAGGGAAAAUAAUGUGUUUCAUAGAAUAUUUUAAAAAUAACUUGCACACAGCGUGAUUUACAAAACAAAAAGCUCCAAGGCAGCAGGGAAGAUCUAAUCAUUUUUUCACAUGCAUUUCUCCUAUAUGGGAUACCAACAGUUUCUACUGAAAUAAAAGGGAAGAAAAAGAGAAAGAAAAUGCUUACUGUGCUUGACUGGUUUACUUUCAACAGUUUUCAACUUUUCUUGAAAACAGUGUGGUAAAGAACAUUGCAGAGGCAAUAAAGUAUUAAGAGAAAUUCCAAUUAAUGACAGAGAAACUUGGGUCUGCAAGCAAGGACAAAUAAAUAAAGGGUAGACAUGAAGUAAGGGGGUUUCAGCAGGGCAGCUUCUGUGAAGCAGCAGCAACUCUCUUGGCAGAAAUAGAGCAGUAAUAACUCAGAGUAUUACAAAAUGUACAUCAGAUGUUGGAUGGUAGGGGUUGGAGCUGGAAAAGAUAUAUUAGAAAGGCUAUUAGAAAUCUGUGGCUUGAGAAACUGGCUAGAAAUACAGAUUUUAGAUCCAGGGAAUUCCUGUAUGUCAUGACCUAAGGAGGAUGUGGUUCUGUUUUCCAGUUUUGUUGGUGGCAAGGAGUUUCUCAAUCUGUUUUCCUUCCCACUCCAGUGUUUUGCCUUCUUGCCUACGCCAGUGUAACUACCUGUAACACCUUAAAUUCAGACUGGUUUUAAACUUGCCCAAUUACAUCUGGGAUAGGUUAAAAAAAAUGAAAAGAUAAAGGUUUGGCAGAUAAGGGCUUCUUUUCUUUUUCUUUCCAUCCCAUUUCCCCAAUCUGCUUAUGGCGUGGUUCCACAGGCAGCUGCAUCAGUAUCCCCAGGGAGGCAGUAUGCAGCAGAGUGGCUGAGCCCUAGCAGGAGGAGCCAUCUCAUAGAAUCACGGAAUCUCAAGUUGGAUUUGCCAUCAGAACUCUGAAAGGUGGAACCAUUCCUCCACCAAGGCUGACAUUUUCAAACCGCAGAGCCUGAACUUUGCAGUUGAAUUUCCGGAGGAUUUCUGCAUCCAGCAAGUGCUGAUCCAGCCUCACUUGUAAUGUAUGUGUAAUGAUAUGUAGAAUGACCCAUAUGGUUUCAGGAGCUCACAUCUAAAGAUGUUGCUGUCUCACCCAUCUCCAUCUGUACCACUUCCUUCUCUACAGAAAUAAUUGUUGGCUAAUAAAUUAACAUUUAUAUACUGCUUUGAGAAUCCUGCAUACUAAGUAUACGUAGGUCUUUAUUAGCUGAUAUCCUACCAAAAUAUUCUUUUUCCUCAUAAAUUACUUUUUUUUUUCCAAUUCUACCAUUGCAGUGUUAAAACAUAUAACGUGGUUGUACCUCUGCUAUUUAUCAUUCUUCCCUGCAAAAGUUUGUCAGAGGAGGAAGGAAAUUAGUUCAAGAAUUUAUUGCAAAGAGCAGAUAAGCGUUUCACUUUAGGGCCCUUUUAUGUCCAUGAUUCAAAUGAGCCUAAUAAUCUUUGCAAAUCAUUAGCUUGUCAUAGCCCCAAAUCCAUCCUGAAACUGUAUGAUCUCACCCAAUAAGUUUCUUCUCAGACUCCUAGACUUCCUCAAUCAUCUUCUUAAUAGUGAUAUAUGUCCCACAGAUAAUUGAUUGAAAUGACAUGUUUAAAAGCAUCAAACAAGACCUUUUAUUUGGCUGUGAAACAGCUAGGAAUGGUUAUAUCUGGUUUCCCCAUAAUGGGCCCAAAAGGUUAAAUGCCUUGUCCAGGAUCACGCAAUAAAUUAGUGAUACAGUUAGGCGUAAGAGAAACUAGUGCUGUUUCCCAGUCUCUUGCUUCUCAGCAGCAGACCUAACUAUCUCUUCAUCUCAGGAACGAUUGUACCGUCCAAAAUGAAGAUGAUUUGCUCAUUACUGAGAAUUGUGUCCUUGAUCUCUUAAGUUCUCUUGUCUUUUGGCCUUGUGCAAGAUCAGAAUUGCACACAGUACAAUGCAGAGAUAGUGGCCACAUGAUAAUCAUCUAGUCUUGGCUUUUUUAUUAUUAUUAUUUUUAUUAUUUUCCAGAAGAUAGAUUUUCCAGAUAUAGAAAUUCACCUUAUGACUUCGACUUAGAAGUUCACAGUUCAGAGCUAUUUUCUGAAAUAAGUCUGUGGUGCUCCAUCACAUUUCAGUUUAAUAGUGGA